rnacentral:guide_RNA from 1 species
AAAACACAACAGAGAACGGAUGAAGAGAAUAUCUAUGGAAUUAUA